rnacentral:ncRNA from 1 species
UUCCUCCUUGUCUCGGGGAGCAUAACAUCUAAUGAACGUAUAGUGAGGAUGUUGAUGCUGACACCCAGAUUGAACCAGGACAUCCUGGCGAUACCCCCGCUCGGGGUGGUUGCUUUCGAACAGUGACCAUCUGGGCGGAAUUUUUGGAACG